rnacentral:rRNA from 1 species
UACGUAGGGGGCAAGCGUUACCCGGAUUCACUGGGCGUAAAGCGCGUGUAGGCGGCUGGCCAAGUGUGGUGUGAAAUCUCCGGGCUCAACCCGGAAACUGCACUGCGAACUGGCCUGGCUGGAGUGCAGGAGAGGGAUGCGGAAUUCACGGUGUAGCGGUGAAAUGCGUAGAUAUCGUGAGGAACACCAGUGGCGAAGGCGGCAUCCUGGCCUGUAACUGACGCUGAGACGCGAAAGCGUGGGGAGCGAACCGG